rnacentral:lncRNA from 1 species
AGAAGUAUUGAAUUAGUCACGUUGUUUGUUGACAAUCAUUUUGUUUGGUUUUAGACUAAAACUUAGAUACCAAGCAAAUGGCGGAGUAGGGAGACUUGCAUGGUGUGCCACUGGCCUAUAGUUGGAACUUGAAGAAGAUGAGAUCGAGUACGAAUGUCUUGAAUCUUCAAAGACUUUUGAGAGUAACAGAAUGUUACCUAAAUCUACUGUAAAAACCAAAGUAAUAUAAAGAAGAUAAGAUAAAAGAGAUUUCAUUGUACUGAAAAAUAUUCUCUUUCAUAGUUACAACCUAAUAUUUAUAAGUGCUCUUAACUAAUAGAAUGAGUGUUAAUACUUAGCUUUCGACACUUGUUCUUACUAUUAUGUGCCACAUGGGCCAUUUUUGCCAAAGUAAGUAGUGCUUCUUUUCUUCUUACAUUAUGGGCAAUAAAAAUAUAGAAACACCACUACUCAUUUUGGAUAGUUAUCUUUGCUAUGGUGUGCUACAUGGGCCACUUUUGUCCCACUUGGUGGGUAUUGUUACUCUCCACAUCAUGGAUAGUGGAGAGAUGGGUAUUUUGAACACUUGUCAUUUUUAUUGUAUGCUACAUGGACCGCUAUUUUCAUCAAUGGUAAGUAAUGUGACCACUUAUUCCAUAUUAUGGGUAGUGAUAAUAGUUGGGUAGCCACCAU